CCUUUCCAGUAUGGUCCAUGGAAAACAUGCAGAGGAAAUGGCCCCACAGCAUUGGCUGAGUGUUUAUGUCGUCCAACCGAGUCUCCAUCGAACUGUUGUGGUGUUGCUGACUUGCCCUAGGUCACCUGAGUUAAAAGGGUUGCAUUCCCUUUCCAGUAUGGUCCAUGGAAAACAUGCAGAGGAAAUGGCCCCACAGCAUUGGCUGAGUGUUUAUGUCGUCCAACCGAGUCUCCAUCGAACUGUUGUGGUGUUGCUGACUUGCCCUAGGUCACCUGAGUUAAAAGGGUUGCAUUCCCUUUCCAGCAUGGUCCAUGGAAAACAUGCAGAGGAAAUGGCCUCACAGCAUUGGCUGAGUGUUUAUGUCGUCCAACUGAGUCUCCAUCGAACUUUUCUGGUGUUGCUGACUUGCCCUAGGUCACCUGAGUUAAAAGGGUUGCAUUCCCUUUCCAGUAUGGUCCAUGGAAAACAUGCAGAGGAAAUGGCCCCACAGCAUUGGCUGAGUGUUUAUGUCUUCCAACCGAGUCUCCAUUGAACUGUUGUGGUGUUGCUGACUUGCCCUAGGUCACCUGAGUUAAAUGGGUUGCAUUCCCUUUCCAGUAUGGUCCAUGGAAAACAUGCAGAGGAAAUGGCCCCACAGCAUUGGCUGAGUGUUUAUAUCUUCCAACCGAGU
rnacentral:lncRNA from 1 species